UACGGAGGGUGCAAGCGUUAUCCGGAUUCACUGGGUUUAAAGGGUGCGUAGGUGGGCUGGUAAGUCAGUGGUGAAAUCUCCAGGCUUAACUUGGAAACUGCCAUUGAUACUAUCAGUCUUGAAUACCGUGGAGGUCAGCGGAAUAUGUCAUGUAGCGGUGAAAUGCUUAGAUAUGACAUAGAACACCAAUUGCGAAGGCAGCUCGCUACUCAAUUAUUGACUCUGAGGCACGAAAGCGUGGGGAUCAAACAGG
rnacentral:rRNA from 1 species